AAUCCCUGAUCCAGCAUCUUGCCCCAGACCAGGCCAACGUUGAGUGGUUCAUGUUGGAAUAUGAAGCAGGGAUUCGGGAUGUCUUUCAGUCUGCGCUUGUCCGUGGCCAGAAUAUUUGUGGCAGAGUUAUGUGCUCUUCAGCAUAGGCAGUUGAUUGGAUAAAUCAAGGACUUGAGUUCACUCAGAUGGGGACGAGGAAUCACAGACAGAUUCAAGAAGUACAAGAAGCUCCAUGACAAACUCUUUGACAUGUGGGACCGAUACAAGAAUGAGGAUGACUACACAACAUCGAAGCUGCUCCGGGAGUCAAGCCACCUGGUUGGAACAGGACCUAUUCCGGCCAACA